rnacentral:lncRNA from 1 species
CACAACAUCUGAAACCCCACCCCAAAAGAGGAUUCAGAAGGUUGUUUUGAGAGAAGGAAAAUUGCAGACAACAGGGAAGACUUCUCCAUCAUGAAAGCUUUAAGUUAGGAGAAAAAGGGAGACGAAAGACCAUUGGAAGGAUGCAGACCAGCAGCCUCCGUCCCCUUAACUGGCUGAGCUGCUGGUUUGAGCUAUCUUCUGCAGCUUACAGAAAAUCAAGCUUCUCCCCAAAGAAGAAAUGAAGAUAACUACCCAAAAGGCCGAUGGCUUUACAGCUUGGCAGACAUUGGAAUCCCCUGGAGAACUCUUUUUUUGACACCUGGUGAGGUCUGUGGAGAGAAACCUGCAAGGGAGUGUGAAUCUUCCCUUGUUUUUUUUUUUGCCCCUGGAAACCACCAUUCAACUUUCUGUCUCUGUGAAUUUCACUGUUCUAUGUACCUCAUUUUCGAACUCUCCAGACCUGGCUAAUUACAAAUGACGUGUAUGCACAAAAGGUUAUCAUGGAGCUGCGGUUCACCUUCCAGUGAUGAUCAUCCCACAGCCCCAACCCACACCCUCCACCAACACACAAUUUUAUACACAUAGUGCACACAUACCCCACACCACAAAAUUACCCUCACACACAUGCACCACACAGAGCCCAGACCACACAUUCCUAUACACCACAUGCAUGCAACGCACAUACCAGACACACACAUACACCCGACACACUACACACACCACACACACCCCACACCCCACAACACACCACACACACGCAGUCUGCAGGCUGUCUGGAGGCUGCUGCUGCUAUCCAGAGAGACGUGGUGAAAAGACUAAGCUUUUAGGGACCAUGCAGGCUCAGAAACGGACAAGAGGAAAGAGCUGCGACAAGCAGGUUUUGCUGCAAAGAGGAUAUUAGAGCUAAUUAGACUCACAGCUUUGGACGGACCUCUGAAUAACCAAUAAGUUAUCUCUUAUGGAAACAUGCUAGCCAGCACAGCCAUCCUCUGCCUUAAUCGCACGUCUCUGCGGCCAUAAGCUUCCACUGGCUCCUACAAACUGAAUAUAAAAAACUAAGAGACAAGUGAGCAUCGGCACCCCUGCUGGGAAGGGCCCACUUUUCCCAUUCAAGUUGGGGUAUCAAGGUUUUGAGAGCUCAGAAUAUGAUGAAGUGCACAGCUACCACCUCUCUGGGAUGAAAGAACUGAGUUGUUCAUGUACUUCCUGGCAUUUCUUACCGUCUCACCAG